rnacentral:misc_RNA from 1 species
UGUGCACGCAUACAUACGUAUACAUCUUCUGUUGUCUUUCUCUCUGUUGGCAUCCCCGUCUCUCUCUCUCAGCUUCACGAUCGUCUCCCCGCCCCCAAGCCCUCUCUCUCUCUCUCGACGGCCACCUCGUCCAUUUCUUUGUGUGGGCGUCUUCGAAGAUCCAUCCUCCGACUCUUCACCUCUUUUUUCUCUGUGUGUGUGUGCGUGUCUCCGCUCUGGAGGAGGGUAUCGAUACGAGUCUUGCCAACACAUCUGAGCACAACGCCUCCUCCCACCCGAACACAAACACACACACACACACACACACACACACACACACACACGUUCUCGAGUACGUUUUAGGGCAGCCACACCAAGUGUUGCUCACGCGCAUCGUCAUCUGCCCCUGCGUGUGCGUGUGUGCAUGCGUGUAUGGGAAAGUACAUGCGCACGUGACCGUGAUCACUGUCUGUCUCUCUCUCUCUCGCUCUGUGCGUGCGUGCGUUGUUGUUGCGCACUGCUGUGGUUGUGACUGACGUUGUGCGACAACGCCCUGCUGACACACAUGGGGGGGGGCGGUGGCGACAGCGGUACUUUCUUCUUGCUCGUUGUUGUUGCUGCUGGCGUUGCCUUGGCGGAGGCUUACGUGCGUGAGUGUGCGUGACCCCUCUCUUCCCUCUUCGCAGGUAAGCGCCCAUUCAAGUCCGACUUCGGCAUUUGUGUGAUUUCGCUUCUCUCGCUUCUCGGUCUGCAGGGCUCCUCACCUCUUUUCCGCUUUAACUUGUUCCUCUCCUGUGCUCACCCCAGCCAGAAGGAGAGGAGGAGACAGAGAGAUACCCGCCAUCCCACCGCUCCACAGCAUCCACUGCAGCGGGUUGCCGUUGACGCAAGCAAGCACAGACGCACACGAGCACAGGGGCUAACACGCAUACACCAUCUCCGUGCAGCCUUGCGGGGGCUUCUCCUUUUUCGCUGUCCCUCGUUUUUGUUCUCCAUCAGCUACUGUCGCCGCACUCGCGGCUACGCACACCAGUGCGUGAUAUCUAAAUUAGGUGCUGUUGCUCUUUUCGCGCCGAAGCAGGUGCCAUCAUGGGUGUUCCCAAGUUCUUCCGCUGGGCGGCGGAGCGCUUCCCCUCCAUCAUCACCCCCUUCAAGGACUCGCCACCGCCGGUGGACAACCUCUACCUCGAUAUCAAUGGUAUCAUCCACAACUGCACGCACCCGAACGAUGUCGACGCGACGCGGCGCAGUCCGACAGAGAAGGAGAUGAUUCAGGCGAUGUUCGUCUAUCUGGAGAAACUCUUCAACGCUAUCCAGCCGCGCAAGUACUUCCUGCUUGCCGUCGAUGGUGUCGCGCCGCGCGCGAAAAUGAAUCAGCAGCGCCAGCGCCGCUACCGCGCCGGUUACGAGAUGAUGAUCGCGCGUGAGGAGGCGCUCGCGAUGGGCGAGGAGGUGCCGGAGGAAAAGGACGUGUUCGACAGCAACUGCAUCACCCCCGGCACCCCGUUCAUGGUGCGCGUGAGCAAGGAGUUUCAGUACUUCAUCACCAUGAAGCUGUCCACCGAUCCGGCGUGGCAGGGGUGCCAGAUCAUCUUCUCCGGCCACGAUUGCCCCGGCGAGGGUGAGCACAAGAUCGUCGAUUUUAUUCGCCGGCGCAAGAUGCAGCCGAACUACGACCCCAACGAGACCCACUGCAUGUACGGCCUCGACGCCGAUCUCGUCAUGCUGGCGCUCGCCACGCACGAGCCGCACUUUGUGCUGCUGCGCGAGGUGGUCACGUUCGGCCCCGGCUCUCGCAAGGAGCGGGAGCGGCAGGAGGAGGAUGAGGCGAAGGGCCUCGUGAAGGACAAGGCGUACCACAAGGCGGACGAGUUCGUGCUGCUGCACAUCAACGUCUUCCGCGACUACCUGCAGCUGGAGGUGAAGGGCUACCUGGCGAAGGCGAAGAGCAGCGUGAGUAUCGACUUUGAGCGAGUGAUCGACGACUUCGUCUUCAUGUGCUUCUUUAUCGGCAACGACUUUCUGCCGACGCUGCCGACCAUCGGCAUUAACGAUGGCAGCAUACCGGCGCUCCUGCACAUCUACGUGGACAACAUGCUCAGCAAGAGCAAGUACCUGACGCACAAAGGCGAGAUCGACUGGCGCAACGCCGAGGUGUGGUUGAACGAGGUCGGCAAGCUCGAGUUCGAGACGCUGCGCCGACGUCAGCAGGAGGAGGCAGAGUUCCAGAAGAACCGCGCUCGCCGCGACCCUACCCACGAGGUGGACACCGCCUCCGUAAUACCUAUCACGUCGAUCCUGGAGUUCAAACAGCGCUACUACGGCGAGAAGCACGGCUUUGCUGGCGGCUGGGACGCGAACAGCGAAGACAUGCAACGACUGCGGGAGCACUACGUGGAGGGGCUCAUGUGGGUCAUGCAUUACUACUAUCAAGGCGUGCCUUCAUGGAAGUGGUUCUUUCCGCACUACUACGCACCCAUGGCGAGCGACAUGGUGAACCUCCCCGCUAUCGCUGCCCGCGUCUCGUUCGAACUCGGCAAGCCCUUCCAGCCGCACCAGCAGCUGCUGGCCGUGCUGCCGCCCAUGUCAUACCUGUCCAUGCCGAAGGCCUACUGGCCCCUGCUGCGCAGCCCAAGUAGCCCGCUCGCCAAGUACUUGCCCGAACACAUCGUUAUUGACCGCGAGGGCGCGCGCGCGCCGUGGGAGGGCAUUGUGCUGAUCCCCUUCAUCGACGAGCGCACGCUGCUCGCCGCCUACGAGUCGGUGCAGAAGAACGUCAGCCCCGAGGACGCCGCGAACAACGUGAAUGGCCCCCCGCUGCGGUUCUGCUACGACGGCAAGAUGCCGCCGUACGACCUGGAGGAUGAGAUGUUCGGCUCUCUCCGGAAUGUCCUCGUGAGGCGCGAGACAUACGCGUUCCCUCACAUCGACAAGUUCAUUCCGCAGCUGUGCCCUGGCGUGCACGUUGGCACGCGGCAGCUGGAGGGCUUCAGCACCCUCCAGUCGAAGCGCGACCUAAUCCAGCCGGUCUUCGAGGCUGGGGUCGUGUCGAUCUUUGGCCGUCCCACCAAGAACGACAGUCUCAUCCUGCAGAUGCGCGACUUCUUCAAGGCCAAGUCAGUCGACCAGGUGGCGACUCUCGUCGGCAAGGAGGUGCUCGUCGGCUUCCCGCACUACAAGCGUGCCCGCAUCGCCUCCCUCAAGGAUGUGCACAAGUCCAUCACUGCUUCGUACAGCAAGGAGGGCACCUUCAGCGGCACCGAGGAGCACAAGAACAACCGCGAAGAGUCGACUGCCUUCGUGAAGGAGGCGGACACGCACGCGCGCUUCAUGAAGUCGCAGCUGGGCCUCGCCGUGGAGCAGGUCGAAGUUCUCGUGUACGUGCACCGCUUCAACGGAAUGCAGGUGACGCGCAAGGGGCACAUUGAGCGACACUUCGCCACCACCUGGACGUGCUACCCAAUCCAGCUGAUCUGCACCUUGGAUAACAUAGACAUGCAGGAGGACAGCCGUUACGUCGAGCGCGACCGCAGCGAAGGUGACAGCGCCUUUGGUGCCCGCUGCGUCUACAUCGGUCCUCAGCCCAAGUCGAAGAAGUCGCAGAUGGACGUGUACGGCAGCUGUGGAACGGUUGUGACGGCUGGCCAGCACGACACGACGACGCAGCAGGGCGAUCAGAUGACGGUUCGCCUCAAGGUGUUUCAGGAGCCGCUGCGGCUGCCGGCGGAGCUGCUGCAGUUUGCCGCACAGCGCAACUGGACGGCGCUGCCGCAGGUGGCGAUCAGUCUCGACAUUUUACCGCACACCUUGACUAGCAUCUGUAGCUCCAUCGUCACGUCGCCGCAGUUUGGCUCUCGCGAGCUGGGGCUGUGUCUAAAGUUCACUGGGCGGUGCAUCGCCAAGGUCGGGUACGCGAAGCUGGUCCAGCACAGUCUGAACCCGUGGUACGUUGGGAACAAGGACAUCUUUGCCCGCAUGGAAAAGGAUACGGAGGACAUUGGCUACCACUUGGAGAUGGGCGAGAAGGGCGACUUCACGGGCAAUUCGAGCAGCAACCGUGGUGGCAGCGGCACGUGGUACUUCUCCCGCGACGCGCAGGAGCUGAUCCGUGACUACGUGAAGCGGUUCCGCCCACUCAUCCAGUACAUCGAGGCGGGCGGCGUAAACUCGAACAGCGUUGAGCCGCAGCAGUUCCUGACGGGCAAGUGGCGCGACAGGGAUGUCGACGACGUGCUAACGGAGAUCGAGACAUUCUUAAUCGAGUCGGGGCUGCGCGAAACGCCGAUGAUCACGGCCACGGAGGAGGCGUUUCCGCAGCAGCUGCUCGAGCAGCUCGAGGCGUCGCUGCAGGAGCAGCAGAACCGCAGCUUCAAGGAGCUCUCGUUGCGGCAGGUAAGCCGCAAUCAGCUCUACUUUCCUGUCACGCGCAGCAGCUGCGGCCAUCUCGUGCCGCUACCACUGCCGCAGGAGCAGACUUUCUACCUGGGCUCGCGGGUCGCGAACUGCCGCGCUACGGGCAUUGUUCCCUUCGGCACGCAAGGCACGAUCGUGCGCUUGCUGGCCAGCGGCAGGGAAGCAGAGGUCGUCUACGAUACCCCCUUCACGGGAGGCACGCGACUCGAUGGCCGCCUCAAGGACACUCGCGCCGCCAUCACGAAGCUGUCGGCGCUGCUUGUACUCAAGUCGACGGAUGCGCCGCAGCCACAGCUGCAACCUCAGACGCAGCCGGACAUGAGGGCCGCUGCGGCCGCCACCACGAACGGGUCGGCCAAGCUGCGGGAGCUGGAAUUCCUCCUGCAGGCGAACGGCAUUCACGUGGACCCCUCGGGCAAGUCCACGGUGUCGCCGCCAUCGCUGCCUGCAGCGUUUCAGAGCCCCACAAGUGCCGCGGCUCGCGCUGCGCCGGCCGACUCUGGUGCGAGCCAUAGCAGCACCGCAGGCGCCGGUGCAAGCGUUGUGCCGCGGCCGCGCAGUGCCGCUGCGACGGAGCAGACGCCGGCACCAGCGACACUAGGCAAGCGCGCCACCCCUGCCUCCGCCACCGCCCACUUGUCCUCAACGUCUUCGGUGACGCCAAUCACCAGAGAGACCCACAGCAGUCCCGCGAGCCUCAAAAUCACGGCUGCCCCAGGGAGCAGCGGGAUCAGCCUUCAAGACUUGGCCAAACACUUGCCGGCCUCCACAUCCCAGCGCUCGCCCGCCACUGUCGCCUCGCCGGCUGGCCACGCUCCAGCGUCGGGUGCAGUUGCGGCAACAACGGCGGCGGCGCUCAGCGGCAUCACCAUCCCGGCCCCCAAGUCUGCGCAGCAGCACCAACACCCGAUGCAGCCCGCUUCGCCGCCGGCGACGACAGCUGUGGCCUCGCCAAGCCAAAGCAAUGAGUCGAACGAGACUUCCCCCGGCUCAAACACGCGCCGCAAGUCGCGCGACCUGCACGUCAUCCCAGACGACUUCGUCAGUGGACGGUUCAAGAUCAAGUACACGAACACGGGCUCGCUGUUCCGCAGCUGGCUGGACACCUUCACGGCGGAGGCGGUGCGCAAGACCCUCGCCGAGCUGGAGGCGGAGGGGAAUGCGAAUCCCCUGUGAAGGCUGCGUAAGGAUGCGCGCGCGCUAGUCAGCGCGUAUGCGUGGGUGCGUGCCACUGUUGUCGUCGACGCGCAUGAUCGCCUCUGUGUGCGCUUCUCUAUCAGUGUUGUUUUGUUUUGCUGUGUCGCGUCUGCCGUCUUCCGUGUCUCACCAGCGCCCUCCCCUUCCCCCAUUUUCUGUUGUCUUCGAUCGAUGAUGGUUGUUUUCCGUGCGUGUGCCACCACCACUAGCACCAGCACCAUCACACCCGUCCCUCAUCCUAUGCCUGCCUCCGUUCCCUAGCCGGUGGGCCUGCCCCCAUCGUCUUCUCUACACAGCGAGGAAGUGUACGCGUGUGCGGCUUACGUGCUCAUGUGGUUGCAUCAGCGUCGCUCGUGCCUCCUGAUGCUAUCGCUCCCUCCCACGAGAGCGAUGGUGCUCUGCGAUGACACGAUGAGAUCAGCGAAACGAACGGAGCGAGCGCAGCGAUAAUAGCGGUACGUGAGAGGAAAGGAAGAGGGUUGUACCUGUGCGGCCUCGCCCUCCCUCUCCGCUCUCCGCUCUCCGUAAUGGUGAGUCGCGUAGGACGUGUCUGUAGCCUCUCCCUCUCGUCACCACCUCCAACACUUCUCUGGUUGCUUUUCAAGCGCGCACGGGCGCGCUCUUUCUGUGUAUGUUGUUGUCUGUAGGAGGGCGCUCAUGUGUUGGCGUGCCGCGGGCGUCUUGUGCCCUCUUUCCCCCCUUCCAUCCUUGUCACUGUUCUAUCUUAACACACGCAGCAGAAAUGCCAUGACGAAGGAUGGGGAAGCAGCAGCAACACCAUACCCAUCACAGGCCACUCGCGUGUGUGAUCUGGUGAGGUCGGCGGCAGAGCUGCAUGCGCGUGCGUGUUGAUGUGGCCUCCUUCGCUUGCUCUUCGUCUUCCUUGCCCAUCCCCUCCACUAUAUUGCUCUCACAUGCCAGCUACACCCCCCAACGCCUACGGACAAGUAGUACCUCGUCAAGGUGUAUCCGGAGUGAGGGGGGAGGGGUGGGGUGGGAGUCCUUUGCUGCGAGCUGCAUCCACGUGCGUGUGCGUGCACCUUUUCGGGCAUGUCUGACCGCCAUUUCUCCAUCAGAGCGCUACCCGGAGAGGGGACUCGAGACUCACGCACCUUUAGCUGUUGCCGCCAAGUCGCCCCUCUCCUGUCCUUUCUCUCUCCGUCGUCUCCGCGAAGACGGCUCCUUUCCUAUCCAUGCAUGGACGUCCACAC